UCGUGCCAACUGGAAUUAGCUCAGUUCGCUUAGAGAGACCAGCCCUCUCUCUCUCUCGCAGUCGCAGCUGGAAACACCAUUGACACAAACCACCAUCACUUAGCAAUCCUCAAUCGGAGGUAGUGCGAAGAGGAUGGGCACAUUGGGGAAAGCGAUCUAUUCCGUCGGAUUCUGGAUCCGCGAGACCGGCCAAGCCCUCGAUCGCCUCGGUUGCCGAUUGCAGGGGAACUAUUACUUCCAGGAACAAUUAUCUAGGCAUCGGACGCUCAUGAAUAUAUUUGACAAAGCUCCAGUAAUUGACAAAGAUGUAUUUGUGGCCCCAAGCGCAUCUAUCAUUGGUGACGUUCAGGUUGGCAGAGGUUCCUCCAUUUGGUAUGGGUGUGUUUUGAGGGGUGACGUGAACAACAUUAGCAUUGGAUCAGGGACUAAUAUACAAGACAACUGUCUUGUUCAUGUGGCAAAAUCAAACUUAAGUGGCAAAGUAUUGCCAACUAUUAUCGGAGAUAACGUUACUGUAGGUCACAGUGCUGUUUUACAUGGAUGUACUGUGGAGGACGAGGCAUUUGUUGGUAUGGGUGCCUCUCUUCUUGAUGGAGUCUAUGUUGAGAAGCAUGCCAUGGUAGCUGCUGGAGCCCUUGUAAGGCAGAAUACAAGAAUUCCUUGUGGAGAGGUAUGGGCAGGGAAUCCAGCCAAGUUCCUGAGGAAGCUCACGGAAGAAGAGAUGGCUUUCAUAUCAAAGUCAGCUGUAAAUUACUCCAACUUGGCUCAGGUCCAUGCUGCUGAAAAUGCAAAGAGCUUUGAUGAGAUUGAGUUUGAGAAGGUGCUCCGCAAGAAGUUUGCUCACCGUGAUGAGGAGUAUGACUCUAUGCUGGGUGUGGUUCGCGAAACACCUCCAGAGCUUAUCCUUCCAGAUAAUAUUUUGCAAGAUAAAUUGCAGAAGGCAACUUGAUUUACCCAACCGUGCUGAAGUUAGGUAUCUCCAAUUGAAAUUUGAUUUCGGAGGUAUGCUGUCAUCUGAAGAUUAAGCGACUACGCAAUUGAUGUCUAAUAAUAGUUGAGGCUGGAUAAGAAUUCAAAGCACGAUGCCUACCAGGCAUCUGGUCCUGCUCAAUUUUUGUGGUCAAGUGGGCACUCGUUUAACAUUGACUUGGAGUGACUGUUCCUCUGAUUACACAUUCAGGUAUUCCACCAGACAUAGUUUUCUAAAUCUGUAUCAUCCUUGUGCUGGUUUAGUUUCAUUCCUCCAAGACAUCGAAGAGCACCUCCCUAAAAACCGAAGUACUUGUCCCGGUACACUUCUAAAGACCGUGUUAGAAGUGACCGACCCAAUUGACCUAGAUUAAUAAA